UUAAGUUCAGCGGGUAUUCCUACCUGAUCCGAGGUCAACCAUUAAAAAAUUGGGGGUUUAGCGGCUAAGGUUAUAGCAUCUUCAAAAGCGUGAUAAAAAUUACUGCGCUCAGAGAUGACUAUGACUCCGCCGUUGGAUUUGAGGAACUACAGGGUAGCUACAGGGUAACCUGGCCCCGUUAUAGGGUAGGUACCGGGUAA
rnacentral:misc_RNA from 1 species